rnacentral:misc_RNA from 1 species
AAACCCACUCAAGCUCUUUGGCUUGGUUAUGGAGGUUGAGCUAUGCCUUUCGGUGAACUCACCUUCGAAAUUCAGAGGCGGAUUGUCGCGUGUUGCCCUGGCGUUAUAAGUUUGCUCUUUCGCUCGGAUUGCAUGGCCAUCUUGCCACAAACAUUCUAUCUUCUA